UACGAAGGGUGCAAGCGUUAUUCGGAAUCAUUGGGCGUAAAGCGCGCGCAGGCGGAUCAGCAAGUCAGAUGUGAAAUCUCGGAGCUAACUCCGAAACUGCGUCUGAAACUGCUAGUCUAGAGUGUCGGAGGGGGUAGGGGAAUUUCACGUGUAGGGGUAAAAUCCGUAGAGAUGUGAAGGAACACCGGGGGCGAAGGCGCCUACCUGGACGACUACUGACGCUGAGGCGCGAAAGCGUGGGGAGCAAACAGG
rnacentral:rRNA from 1 species